GAUGAACGCUGGCGGCGUGCCUAAUACAUGCCAGUCGAGCGAACGGACGAGAAGCUUGCUUUUCUGAUGUUAGCGGCGGACGGGUGAGUAACACGUGGAUAACCUACCUAUAAGACUGGGAUAACUUCGGGAAACCGGAGCUAAUACCGGAUAAUAUUUUGAACCGCAUGGUUCAAAAGUGAAAGACGGUCUUGCUGUCACUUAUAGAUGGAUCCGCGCUGCAUUAGCUAGUUGGUAAGGUAACGGCUUACCAAGGCAACGAUGCAUAGCCGACCUGAGAGGGUGAUCGGCCACACUGGAACUGAGACACGGUCCAGACUCCUACGGGAGGCAGCAGUAGGGAAUCUUCCGCAAUGGGCGAAAGCCUGACGGAGCAACGCCGCGUGAGUGAUGAAGGUCUUCGGAUCGUAAAACUCUGUUAUUAGGGAAGAACAGAUGUGUAAGUAACUGUGCACAUCUUGACGGUACCUAAUCAGAAAGCCACGGCUAACUACGUG
rnacentral:rRNA from 1 species